GCCCGGCUAGCUCAAUCGGUAGAGCAUGAGACUCUUAAUCUCAGGGACGUGGGUUCGAGCCUCACGUUGGGUG
rfam:Gasterosteus aculeatus cont1.015884, whole genome shotgun sequence.